UUUUCACGGAAAUGAUAAUCCACACCGCAGAAUCGGCGCAGAGGCAGCGUGUGCCAGUCCAGGUGUGGUGCGUCUAGGAGCUGGAGUUUUUCCCUCUGCACAGCUGCAGAGGGAGAACCCGGAGUCCUCAGUCAGCAGAUGGAUGUGAAUGAGGUCAUGGUCUCUGAAGCCCCCUAAUGCAUGCCAUUCUUCUGAAGAACAGCUCACGAGCCUUGUUCUCCCAG
rnacentral:lncRNA from 1 species